UCAUCUUUCAACCCAGGUGAUGCCUCCCCAGCUGGAAUAUUACGCAAGUGAUGGGUCAUUCUCAGGACAUCACAGCUGGAGACACAGUGUCCCCUGCCCCUCAGUGGGAUGUUAAAUUUGAUCAUUUGGUCCGAGUGUUUUCCAGUUUCUUUGCUAUAUAAUUACUAUUAUUUCCUUCCUAACUAAUAAGAAAUGUGUGUGAAGAAACUUGAAAGCCAUGAGAAUGUCCUCAUCAAAAUUCUCCUCCCCUGGAUUUACCAACCCCUGACAGCUCUUACCUGACCAGACUUGUCUCUGAUGGUUGCACAGUGAUUUUCCAACUCCAGCUCUCCCUCCAUGCUCACCUGCUGGCCCCUGGCACUCUCCUGUAAGCAGAGCCCUGCCCCCACCCCGUCUUUCUUUCCUUCUUGCUCUCCUGUCCGUAGAUCUGUGUGGACUCGUGGGUCUCCUUUGUUCCCAGUGGUUUACAGUCCAUUCCUGGUCUUAGUUAUGUCUGUGCCGAGUCUGUGCCGCUUUCGCCCAGGGGCAGCCCCUCACAGCUGGCUCAGGAGGUGAGCAUCUUUUUGGUGCCUGUCUUAACUCGUGCCUCCCAUGUCCCACCCCACAACACUCAUUGUUUCCAGCCCCUCGUGGAGACCUGGCAGGACCUCCCCACAGGCCAGGCAGCUUCCUGUGACAGGCCUGCCCACACCCAGGGAGCAGACGAUGACCCCACGUGCAUGUGUGCUCUGGCUUCGGAGGAUGCGGCUUUCAUGGCGGAUGAGGCGGAGUAGAAUGACUACGUGCUCGACAACGCAGGCUGCCGUCUUUUCUCUGUCCAAGAAAAGACCAGGAACUGGCCAGCUGCCUCACGCACACGGACCCCGCCAGCCAAGCCACUUCUCGGCACUUGCGUCUUCAGGGACACCCUGCACUUCCCUUUGACAGGCACCAAGUUCUCUGUGGAAAGCCUGGGCGUCUCCCCGCUGCAGACUGUUGACCAAGGGAUGGUGAAGUGAGGUGAGACUAUCAGAUUCCAAAUAAAAGGUACCCAAGAAAUUUAUCAAGUUUAGUUCCAAUCAGGUGACAAAGAGGUUCCUGCUGAGAAGACUAUUCUCAACCCCAGCUAGCCUCUGCCUGAUGCUGCGGAAAGAGGCAGGAGCUCUGACUGCCUCUGAGCCUUGACUGAGCAUUUCCUGAUUUGGAAUUAGCUUUCAGAUCAGACGCCCAGCCUGGGCCACAGAACCCCACAACCCUGCCUUGAGUCAUGGCCUCAGGGAGCAGGCCACGCUGUCUGCAGCCAGAACUAAAGGCUUCCACGGCCACAGGUCCCUCCCUGGAGCCAUAGGCCAUCGGAAGCCCAGAGCUCCCCGCCCCGUGGGGAGAUACCUGUUCUUCAGUUCCGGGCGCGUCUGACUGGGAAGCACCUGCCCUGUGGCGUCUUCCCGCAGUGCGGGGCUGGGGCUGCUGUGUUGUCUGCUUGGAGUCCACGGGCUUGUGCUCCCAGAUGCCCCACCCCAUCCCUCCUCGCCCUGUGAGCCCCAGCAGGUGGACGGGGCCUUUCCCUUGGACCUCUGCACUCACCGAGCCCAGGCCUGCCCACCAAACCAGAAGCAGGACUGAGAGCCACGUGGUGUCUGUCCACCUUUGACUUUUGACAACUUCAGACAACUUGAAACUGCGGCACCUUAAACCCAACUUCACGGCCUCUACGGUUCCCCGGGGCUGGGUGAACUGUUGUACUGGCAGGUCAGUAGGAGUUCCCAGUCUUUGUGUUCAACUCCCCAUCCCCUUGGUGGUGGCGGAUGACCCAGUGGUUCCCCUGCUUGGUGUUGGUAAGUUAAAGUCAUGAGACUUCAUGGGGUUCAAUGCGGGGAGGGAGGCAGAUGAUGACCAGCCCUGCCUCUCCUUGCGAGGGGGCCCUGCACCCCUGCUCCCUCCACACGGCCCCUGAACCUUCUCCAAGGAAGCCCACAGCCUCCUUCACCUCAGUCCCACCCAGACAUUUCAGUCACAUGUGAAAAAGACCCCCGACCCCCAGUCAGCGUUGGGAGAGAGCAUCCCUCCCACACAGGCCAGCCAGCCUGAGCCCCUGGACUUGAGCCUCCCUGUGCAGGAAUGCCUUCCCUUAGGACCCACCUUGGCUGUGGCCCUAGACCGGUCUGUGACUUGGCCGAGCCUGUUGCUUCAACUCCUCCCUCUCCUCCAUUUCAGCCCUUCUCAUGGCCAAGGAUGUAAGACAUUCCUCUGUACCGGCCGCCCUCCCCACCCCCAGGAACAGAGCUGCCUGUGCGACCCUGCGGGCCUCACUCAGGGUGCAGGCCCACCAGAGGGGUCCUGACUUUGACCAGUCUGAGGAGAAGGGUCCUCAACAAGGGGCCCCUUUCCGACCACUGCGGUGAAGAUAUCCCCAGGGGUGCCCCACUUUAAGCCUUCCGCCUUGCCCACCCCCUCACCUCACCUGAACUGACGGCCCCAAGGGCUGGCCUGGAAGCAGCUCAGGGACCUGUUGGAGACGACCCCAGCCCGCAGCACCCCCGCCGUUCGAGCAGGGGUUUGUUCCCGGGAGUGGUCGUCAUCCUAGGAGCAGGCACCUCCUUGUGCCAACGGGAAGCCCUUUCCUGUGCCGCCCUCCAGAGACAUGUUCAAAUGACCAAUAUGCUUUUAAUUAGUCAUCUUGAAGCCACAGAAUGUGUGGUCCCCUGGGUCACUUUUUUCCUGUCAGCAAGCUGCUUUGUGUCUUCUGGGGAACAUCCGGGGCCGUCUGAUCGUCUGACUUCCUAGGGCAGAGGACUCUCGGAAGGGUUGACGUCUUUGUUCUGGCCCCUGUGCAGGACACCUACUCCUCCCUCAGAGGCUAUAACUCCAAUUGGACACCCUCUGGCAGAGGUACUGUGUGGCUGAAUGAGGGGUAUUUUGUGCAUAAUUUAUGACAUUAAGAGGAGGGGGGCCUGGGCUCUCAAGUCAAAAACCUUCAAUGCUGGGCACUCUUGGCCCAAAUGUCAACAGUAGGUGCUCAAUAAAUGCUCAUUACAGGAAGGUGCAUUUUCCUCCUGCUGGAGAUCUCACAAGAUGAUCCAGAGCCAAGGGUGAAGCUGGUAAGUCUGUGCUGUGUGACACUCACCUGUCUCCCAGGCCAGAAAUGGGAGAGAAGAG